GGUUUCUCUGUGUAGCCCUGGCUGUCCUGGAACUCACUCUGUAGACCAGGCUGGCCUUGAACUCAGAAAUCCACCUGCCUCUGCCUCCCAAGUGCUGGGAUUAAAGGCAUGUGCCACCACUGCCCG
ensembl:miRNA